AUUAGCUAGUUGGUGGGGUAAAGGCCUACCAAGGCGACGAUCAGUAGCCGGCCUGAGAGGGUGAACGGCCACACUGGGACUGAGACACGGCCCAGACUCCUACGGGAGGCAGCAGUGGGGAAUCUUCCGCAAUGGACGAAAGUCUGACGGAGCAACGCCGCGUGUAUGAUGAAGGUCUUCGGAUUGUAAAGUACUGUCUUUGGGGAAGAACGGUCAUCUUGAGAAUAUUGAGGUGACAUGACGGUACCCAAGGAGGAAGCCCCGGCUAACUACGUGCCAGCAGCCGCGGUAAUACGUAGGGGGCGAGCGUUGUCCGGAAUUAUUGGGCGUAAAGGGCGCGUAGGCGGAUUUUUAAGUCCGGUGUGAAAGAUCAGGGCUCAACCCUGAGAGUGCAUCGGAAACUGGGGAUCUUGAGGACAGGAGAGGAAAGUGGAAUUCCACGUGUAGCGGUGAAAUGCGUAGAUAUGUGGAGGAACACCGGUGGCGAAGGCGACUUUCUGGACUGUAACUGACGCUGAGGCGCGAAAGCGUGGGAGCAAACAGGAUUAGAUACCCUGGNAGUCCAC
rnacentral:rRNA from 1 species